CUUUGCGGUAGAACGGGAGGGGGACGCCUUCGUGCGUGCUGGUUUCUGUAUGUCCAGUCUGCUAACCCUCUUUCGUUCUGCCACCAUA
rnacentral:antisense_RNA from 1 species